GGGAGCCGUUUGGUCAGCGGAGCACCCUCCACGUGCCGGGCUCCCUGGCAGGCGCUGGACACGCGGCCGUCCUCUGGCCAGACACAGCCCCCAGCCCAGCGGGGGAGACCCACACACUCCCUUGCACAGCAGGGAGGUGACCCGGAGCAGGGGCUCACGAAGGCGGGGGGCACCUCCUGUUUCGCUCAGCUCCCCCCACCAAGAAGCCCUCGACAACCAGAACUGGCACCAGCGGCAACGCCGAGGGAGAGCCCAGGAGGGCAGGCCUCCGGGGGGGCCUUCUCCAAACAGGGGCCCUGCGAGCCGGAAGAAGCAAACUCCUGGGAGAGGAACCGCCUGGGCCAAGGCGUACGGGGUGCCGAGAAGGAGCCUGGAGAGGGCGCGGCUGGCGGGGAGGGUCCCCUUAGCGAGGAAGGUGUGUGGGGGCAGGUGCAGAGGCCACCGCGCAGCACGCGGAGGCCCAACCGGGCAGCUGGGGCUCGAGCCGGCAGCUGGUGGCCCGGGAGCGCCGCACCCUUGCUGUCCCACUUUGGCGAGAGUCUCCCUUUCCGGAAGGCACGAGCUGGAUUCUCCUCUUCUCUCAUCCCCUCCGGUGCAGGGCUGAGAACCCAACCCUGGAGAUGGAUCGAUAAGAGCUGCUGCUGCUCCCCGGCCCUGCCUCCCCACGCCCUGCUCCCACCUGGCUUCCGCUGUUGCCCUGGGCCAAUCCCAAUAGGUCAAAGGGAAGGCAGAAACGCCAGCCUCAGCCUGGGGCCACUCCUGCGAAGGCCCUCCCACCCCUUCUCCUUUCCGGUAAUGCGCUGUACUUCCCGUCACAGCUUCUAUCCCCUUUCAUCAUAAAGCCUUCAGUCGUCCUUCUUCAGUGUCCGGACUUGGUAGAUGCUAAUUGAACAUUGUUGUCGAAUGAAUCGAGUCCCAUCAAUUCCAUUUCCAUAAUAUUCCUUGGAUCCAACCCUCCUCCCCUCCCCUGGCCACCGCCCUUGCUCAGAUCUCAUCUUCCACCAGGACUAUCGAGCAGCCUCCUUCCUGGGCUGCCUGCCCGGUCAUCUUCACGCUGGACUCCACAGGGUCAUUCUCAAGUGCCCAUCUGACCAUGGGGCCGCCCUGCUGAGAACCCUCCGCUCACAGGAGUAAGACCACAGCUCUAGGAUGAUAAAACCAUGACAGCAGAUAUGACUGAUGGCGCUACUCUGGAAGAUAGGCAAAAAUACAAAAUUAGCAGUGCUACUCCAUUAAAUAAAGAUAAGAGGAGAUCGUGGGGCAAAGUGCAAAGCAGAGUUUGCACUAACCAGGUGGUGCAUGGGGAUGGAUUGAGAAACACAUUCUUGGAUGAUACACACCUGCUCCUCCCUCUGAAACAGAACAGCCUGUAUCGUUCUGUGUCCUCAGCCAACCACCCCCCACUCCCGCCUUUGUUGGAAGCUUUUUAAGAAUGAGGACCUUUUAUCUUGCUAUUCUCAAUGCCUAGCACAGGACUUGGUACAUGGUAGGUACUCAUGAAUAUUUGUUGACCGAAUGAAUCAGAUGAAUUAAUGAAGAAGCAGUCAAUGGUCCCUAAGUAGAUGAGAAAGACUACUACUCCCUGCUUACCCUUUCUUGGGGUUGCAGCGCAGCACUGAUCAGAUAGACUUUGGUCACACCCCAACAAAGGAAUUAUCUUCUGAGCGGUUGAAGGCACAGAUUCUGGGGCCAGACAGCCUAGCUAGAGUCCUGUUCCACUAUUCAUUAGCUGUGUGAGCUUGAGCAGGUUAUAGAACUUCUCUGUGCCUCAAGUUGUCAUAUGCAAAAUGGGAGUGGUAAUUAUCUUCAAGUGCUGUUUACGUACCAGCUAUUAUUGAUGAUGAUGAUGAUAAUAAUCCCCUAAUCUCCCCCAUCCCCAUCAGGUCCUCUUUUUCUAGAUCUACACCU
rnacentral:lncRNA from 1 species